rnacentral:rRNA from 1 species
AGAGUUUGAUCCUGGCUCAGAAUGAACGUUGGCGGCGUGGAUUAGCAUGCAAGUCGUACGGGCCCGGCUUCGGCCGGGUCAGUGGCGCAAGGGUGAGUAAGGCGACGGUAACCAACCCCACGGAAUUGGGUAUAGCCGCGCGAAAGUGCGGGUAAUCCCCAGCGAUGUCACGGGGGGGCAUCUCCCUGUGACCAAAGGUCCGCCGUCGUGGGACGGGCCGUCGUGGUAUUAGGUAGUUGGCGGGGUAACGGCCCACCAAGCCGACGAUGCCUACCGGGCGUGCGAGCGUGGCCCGGCACACUGGGACUGAGACACUGCCCAGACUCCUACGGGAGGCUGCAGUCGAGAAUCUUCGGCAAUGGGCGCAAGCCUGACCGAGCGACGCCGCGUGGAGGACGAAGGCCUUCGGGUUGUAAACUCCUGUCGAGGGGGAAGAAGGCCGGGCAACCGGCUUGACUGAUCCCUGGAGGAAGCACGGGCUAAGUUCGUGCCAGCAGCCGCGGUAAGACGAACCGUGCGAACGUUAUUCGGAAUCACUGGGCUUAAAGCGCGUGUAGGCGGGACGGCACGUCGGAUGCUGAAAGCCCCCGGCUCAACCGGGGAACGGGCACCGAUACGACCGUCCUGGAGGGACGUAGGGGGACCUGGAACUUCCGGUGGAGCGGUGAAAUGCGUUGAGAUCGGAAGGAACGCCCGUGGCGAAAGCGAGGUCCUGGACGUUUUCUGACGCUGAGACGCGAAAGCCAGGGGAGCGAACGGGAUUAGAUACCCCCGUAGUCC